UCAGGGAUAGUCUUGUGGUUAUGGUGUUCGGCUCCUAGCCGAAAGGUUCUGGGUUCGAAACCCCAACUUUGUCUCCUAAA